UGGGGAAUAUUGGACAAUGGGCGCAAGCCUGAUCCAGCCAUGCCGCGUGAGUGAUGAAGGCCCUAGGGUUGUAAAGCUCUUUCACCGGUGAAGAUAAUGACGGUAACCGGAGAAGAAGCCCCGGCUAACUUCGUGCCAGCAGCCGCGGUAAUACGAAGGGGGCUAGCGUUGUUCGGAAUUACUGGGCGUAAAGCGCACGUAGGCGGACAUUUAAGUCAGGGGUGAAAUCCCGGGGCUCAACCCCGGAACUGCCUUUGAUACUGGGUGUCUCGAGUCCGGAAGAGGUGAGUGGAAUUCCGAGUGUAGAGGUGAAAUUCGUAGAUAUUCGGAGGAACACCAGUGGCGAAGGCGGCCAUCUGGACAGAUACUGACGCUGAGACGCGAAAGCGUGGGGAGCAAAC
rnacentral:rRNA from 1 species